ACGGGAGGCAGCAGUGGGGGAUAUUGGUCAAUGGGGGCAACCCUGAACCAGCGACGCCGCGUGAGUGAAGAAGUAUUUCGGUAUGUAAAGCUCUAUCAGCAGGGAAGAAAAAAUCAAAAUUGACAGUACCUGACUAAGAAGCCCCGGCUAACUACGUGCCAGCAGCCGCGGUAAUACGUAGGGGGCAAGCGUUAUCCGGAUUUACUGGGUGUAAAGGGCGUGUAGGCGGAGAGGCAAGUCAGAUGUGAAAUCCCGGGGCUCAACCCCGGAACUGCAUUUGAAACUGUCUCCCUUGAGUAUCGGAGAGGCAAGCGGAAUUCCUAGUGUAGCGGUGAAAUGCGUAGAUAUUAGGAGGAACACCAGUGGCGAAGGCGGCUUGCUGGACGACAACUGACGCUGAGGCGCGAAAGCGUGGGGAGCAAACAGGAUUAGAUACCCUGGUA
rnacentral:rRNA from 1 species